AUUGAACGCUGGCGGAAUGCUUUACACAUGCAAGUCGAACGGCAGCACGGACUUCGGUCUGGUGGCGAGUGGCGAACGGGUGAGUAAUGUAUCGGAACGUGCCCUGUCGUGGGGGAUCACGUAGUGAAAAUUACGCUAAUACCGCAUACGAAGUAUGGAUGCAAGCGGGGGAUCGCACGACCUCGUACGAUUGGAGCGGCGGAUAUCAGAUUAGGUAGUUGGUGGGGUAAAGGCCCACCAAGCCAACGAUCUGUAGUUGGUCUGAGAGCACGACCAGCCACACUGGAACUGAGACACGGUCCAGACUCCUACGGGAGGCAGCAGUGGGGAAUUUUGGACAAUGGGCGAAAGCCUGAUCCAGCCAUUCCGCGUGCAGGAUGAAGGCCCUCGGGUUGUAAACUGCUUUUGUACAGAACGAAAAGGUUUCUACUAAUACUAGGAGCUCAUGACGGUACUGUAAGAAUAAGCACCGGCUAACUACGUGCCAGCAGCCGCCGUAA
rnacentral:rRNA from 1 species